rnacentral:rRNA from 1 species
CCUACGGGAGGCAGCAGUGGGGAAUAUUGGACAAUGGGCGAAAGCCUGAUCCAGCAAUGCCGCGUGAGUGAUGAAGGCCUUAGGGUUGUAAAGCUCUUUUACCAGGGAUGAUAAUGACAGUACCUGGAGAAUAAGCUCCGGCUAACUCCGUGCCAGCAGCCGCGGUAAUACGGAGGGAGCUAGCGUUGUUCGGAAUUACUGGGCGUAAAGCGUACGUAGGCGGUUAUUCAAGUCAGAGGUGAAAGCCUGGAGCUCAACUCCAGAACUGCCUUUGAAACUAGAUAGCUAGAAUCUUGGAGAGGUGAGUGGAAUUCCGAGUGUAGAGGUGAAAUUCGUAGAUAUUCGGAAGAACACCAGUGGCGAAGGCGACUCACUGGACAAGUAUUGACGCUGAGGUACGAAAGCGUGGGGAGCAAACAGGAUUAGAUACCCUGGUAGUCCACGCCGUAAACGAUGAUAACUAGCUGUUCGGGCUCUACGAGCUUGAGUGGCGCAGCUACGACAUUAAGUUAUCCGUCCGUCGGGAGGUACGGUCGCGAAGAAGUUAAAACUUAAAAUUAAGUAAGUUAGUACGGCGUGAGACGUGCCGAACGGACGACGACGAGGGAGGUAGG